UCCCUGGUGGCUCAGAUGGUAAAGCAUCUGCCUGCAAUGCGGGAGACCCAGGUUUGAUCCCUGGGUUGGGAA
rfam:TPA: Bos taurus chromosome 8, whole genome shotgun sequence.